ACAAAAUAGAAAAAAAAGGUUUAUUUGUUUACAAAAGAAGUGCAAUGACCACGAGCAGUAACAGGAACUAUAAGGUCAGGCUUGAACUGGUCAGAGAUCUCAAAUGCACCAAAACCAGUCUGAAAAAGAUUGAGGUCUAAAACGGAAGACAUUUUCUUAGCCGUCUGUGAUUGUUUGUCUUUGCCCUUCCAGACCUCUGCCUACAUUUUUCACUUGCUCAGAUACUCAAAUGAUGAAUAAAAAUAAUCAAUGACAUAAAACAAAUGUCAAUUCAGUCUGAUGAUCAGGCGAAAGACUACAGAACAGUGUGGUGUUUCCUUGCUUCGUGGUUCUUCUUAUGGACCCCCAGUUUUGAAGCUGAGAGAAACUGUUUACCACAAACCAUACAGCAAAAUGACUUGGUUCCCUUUUGCUCCUUCAUACCACACGUUUGGAGAUGAUAACUAUAGGUAACCAUUUUUCC